rnacentral:sRNA from 1 species
CUUAUUGAUAUGCUUA